GGCCGUUUAGCUUAAUGGUAGAGUACUCAGCUGGUACCUAAGGGGUGUGGGUUCAAGUCCGAUGGCUA
rnacentral:tRNA from 1 species